GACGAACGCUGGCGGCGUGCUUAACACAUGCAAGUCGAGCGGAGCGGCGAACGGGUGAGUAACGCGUGAGUAACUGCCCCCCUCUCUGGGAUAACAGUUGGAAACGGCUGCUAAUACCGGAUAGUGGGGGAUGACUCGCGCCCUAUCAGCUUGUUGGUGGGGUAGUGGCCUACCAAGGCGACGACGGGUAGCCGACCUGAGAGGGGGACCGGCCACAAUGGGCUGAGAUACGGCGCAAAGUGCUACGGGGGGCAGCAGGGGGGAAUAUUGCGCAGUCAGGGAAAGCCUGAUGCAGAGGCGCGGGUGCGGAAUGACGGCCUUCGGGUUGUAAACCGCUUUCAGCCAUUACGCGGUAGUGGCAGAAGAAGCACCGGCUAACUACGUGCCAGCAGCCGCGGUAAUUC
rnacentral:rRNA from 1 species